CCAAUUCCUUAAGUUUCAGCCUUGCGGCCGUACUUCCCAGGUGGCUCGCUUCACGGCUUCCUACGGCACCGACAACGGUCGCACCGUGGCCGACACCUAGCGAGUAUCGUUUACGGCUAGGACUACCCGGGUAUCUAAUCCGGUUCGUGCCCCUAGCUUUCGUCCCUUGCCGUCAGGUCCGUUCUGGUGAGACGCCUUCGCCACUGGUGGUCCUUCAAGGAUUACAAGAUUUCACCCCUACCCCUGAAGUACCUCUCACCUCUCCCGGCCUCGAGCCGAACAGUAUCUCCUGAAAGCCCAACAGUUGAGCUGCUGGAUUUCUCAAGAGACUUAUCCGGCCGGCUACAGACCCUUUAGACCCAAUAAUAACGGUUACCACUCGAGCCGCCGGUGUUACCGCGGCGGCUGGCACCGGUCUUGCCCGGCCCUUGCUAUGCAAUGCUUUUUAGGCAAAACGACAGCCAGAUUUGUAACCUGGCACUCGAGGUCCCCUUAUCGCCGUUGCCGGCAUUGUAAAGUUUUCGCGCCUGCUGCACCCCGUAGGGCCUGGAUUCGUGUCUCAGAAUCCAUCUCCGGGCUCUUGCUCUCACAACCCGUACCCGUCGUAGGCUAGUAGGUACGCUACACCCACUACUACCUGAUAGGCCGCAGACCCAUCCUCUGGCGCCGGAGCUUUCGAUCUCGGGGCAUUCCAGCGACCGAGAUCUAUCGGGGAUUAUACCCAGUUUCCCGGGUUUAUACCCGUCCGGAGGGUAGGUUGUCCACGUGUUACUGAGCAGUACGCCAUGUAUUGCUACAUUCGACUCGCAUGGCUUAGUCGAACCUCGAUAGCAGUAACGACCGGCGGGAUC
rnacentral:rRNA from 1 species